GGCAUAUGGAAUUUCCCAGACUAGGGGUCGAAUCAGAGCUAUAGCCACCAGCCUACCCCAGAGCCACAGCAACGCGGGAUCCAAGCUGUGUCUGAGACCUACACCACAGCCCACAACAACACCAGAUCGGAGCCUCAUCUUUGACCUACACCACAGCUCACAGCAACGCCAGAUCCUUAACCCACUGAGCGAGGCUAGGGAUCGAACCCGCAAUCUCAUGGUUCCUAGUCGGAUUCAUUAACCACUGAGCCACAAUGGGAAUUCCCAAUAAAUCUAUUUCUUGCCCAUCACUUUGCCUCUCACUGAAUUCCUUCUCACUGAGAGAUAAAGAACCUGAGCAUCAGUAAGUCCUGACUCCAGGUGAGUGAUUUUAAUUAAAAGGCAGUGGGUUCGUCAAAUACUGAUUCACGGACUUUGAAAAACUUGUGUUUUUCAAAUGAGACAGGUUGGGGGGGUGGAGGGAUGCGCUGGGUAUUUGGGAUGGAAAUGCUAUAAAACUGGGUUGUGAUGAUUAUUGUACACCUAUAAACGUAAUAAAAUUAAAUAAAUUAAAAAGAAAAAAAAGACAUAAUUGAGUUCGAGCCCCAACCUGAGCUGUGCAUUUUCAGCAGUAAGGAUUAAAAGGGAUGAUUAUGGCAAAGCGUUCAGCACAGUGCUGGGCAUAUGUCAGUGCUGCAUUAAAGGAUAUUGACCUUACAGGAGAACUACCAGAUAAGCAAAAUUUUUAAAUAAAGGCGAGCUGGGAAGAAGCAAAGGUCAAGGAGUGGUGAGGCUCUCUGUGGCAACCCAGGAAAGGUUCUUGGACAAAGCAGGACUUAAACUGGGCCUUGAAAAAUGAGGACGACCAGCCAAAAGGUGAAAAAGUCCUCGUUCACUUCCAAAAAUGGCAAUUGGCAGGACUAUCCAAGGCGAUGACACAUUCUUUCAAAACUCCUUUCCUGAGCGAUCCUAUGGCUUGAUUUCCUGUGUCUUUUAAACCUGUUUUUCCAGGUAAGUACAAACAUCAGAGUGUUAGCUCAUUUACAAUUUAGUCCCAAUUCAAUUUUAUUCUAUUUCAAACUCCUCUGUAACACAACCUAAGAGCACUCACCCGCCAAUAUUUCCUGAAAGAAAAUAUGCAAAGACCCUGGGAGAAUAACAGGAAAUGGGAUGUCAGAGUGGACCUAAGCUACUUUUUCAACAGAAGUCAUAGCCAAUCAUGUGAUUCCUUUCUAGUCAUAUGGACCAGUGACAGCCCCACACCCUUUGACUCAGUGGGAAAUAGUUUCUUCACUCGCUUUUGGGAAAUGCUGCCAGUGAUUCAGCACUACAGGCUGCCUCACUGGGAUGGCAUAAGGGACAUUUCCCUCACAGCCUGCCCACCCCCUUGAUGAGAGACCAGCUUCCCAGGCUCCAGUGUUACUCAUAAGCACAGCUGCUACAAUGCGAGCAUGUCAGAAGGUCAAGGGCAGUCUUUCCUUUACCAACAUGAUUUAGACUCUAGAAGGCUCUUUGAGCAGAUACUGAAUAAUUUAUCACCCAAACAGGGAAACUUUUGAUGUAAAAGUUGUAAUAAAUAAAUACAAUAAAAUGUGGCACUAUUAAUAAUUGUAGAUGUAAAUGGGGAAUGACCCAGACAAACUGGAUAUAUGAUCAUCCUAUCUCAGGGUCUUGGAUCCCUAUAUGGCAGAGAUACUGUAUUAAUUACCUUUGUCCUGGAGGCCUCAGAUUAGUAGGGAAAAUAAGCACAUAAACAGGCAUUUAUAAAUCACUGUAGAGGGCAGGGACCUGCAAGCUACUUGAGGCAGCUUUUAAGAGUGAAAGAAGGGAGUUUCUGCUGUAGCUCAGUGGAAAUGAACCCGACUAAUAUCAUGCGGAUGCGAGUUUGAUCCCUGGCCUCAAUCAGCGGGUUAAGAAUCUGGUAUUGCCAUGCGCUGCAGUGUAGAUUGCAGUUGCAGCUCAGACCCUGUGUUGCUGUGACUAUGGUGUAGGCUGGCAGCUAUAGCUCCAAUUCAACCCCUAGUCUGGAAACUUCCAUAUGCCACAGGUGCGGCCCUUAAAGGCAAAAAAGAACAAAACAAAGAAGCAAAAGAAGAAAGAGAGGCUGACCUAUUUCCAUCUUCAUCAAACAAUGAGGAACAAUACCAGAAUUCCAGGCAGAAAUGUCAUUGAAAAACAAAAGUUGAUCAACGCCAAUAUUGAUCAACGCCUUCCUGUGUAUUGGGCACUUUAUAAAAAUCUCAUUUAACCCAUACUUCUAGUACCUUCAUUUUACCUCCAAAGUCAGAUAGUUUUAAAACAUUAAAAGGAUCCACAUUCCCUUCCCUUGACUCUUGCUAUAAUCAGUGACUCCUGAGGCCAGAUCAUAAAAGGCCAAGCAGCUUCCACCUGGUUUGCUGAAACACACAGCUUGGAUCCCUUAGCUACCAGUAAAAUGUCCAACUACCAGCAGAGACCAUCCUUUAGCCAUCAGCCAGACAUGUAAGAAUCAUUUGAGGAGUUCCCGUUGUGGCGCAGUGGUUAACGAAUCCGACUAGGAACCAUGAGGUUGCGGGUUCCGUCCCUGCCCUUGCUCAGUGGGUUAACGAUCCGGCGUUGCCGUGAGCUGUGGUGUAGGUUGCAGACGUGGCUCGGAU
rnacentral:lncRNA from 1 species